UCCAGCUGGUCGCGGUUAGCCUGGGCUGUGGCGUCUUCCUCAGGACCACCUGCAGCCGGCGAGCUUGGGGCCGGGACCCUGCCCGCCUUCGAGUCCUCCUCUGGCAUAUGCAAUAGACUCACUGCUCGAUUUAUCUGUUUAUCUGUAUUUACCGACUUGCACAGUUAUACCAAGAAAUGUUUACACAGAUGAUGAUAAGCAUAUGUAGAAAUGCAACAUUUUCACAGACCAGAAUAACCAACUCCAGGCUGCAGUUCUCUGCACGAAGAUGAAGUUUGAUGGGGAAACUCCCUCAGCUCCUGACCGCAGCGACCUGAGCCUAGUGGAGCAGCUGGGGACGGUGGGCAGAGCCAGGUGUGGACAGGCGGUAGGUCCUGCACCUGGAUGCGGGGAGCAGCAGGCUCCAGGGUCAAGUUGAGGGUGUGCUAGUCCGGGCCUCCAGGCCUCAGGUGGCCCACUCUGCCCUCUGCCUGUUGCCCCCCUUGUAAAGUGGGGAGUAAGGGACCAUCACGAGCCAGGGGUUGGUGGCACAUGCUGUGGUCUCAGCCACUCAGGAGGCUGGGACUGGAGGGUCACUUGUGUCCCAGAGCUGAAGCUGUGGUCUGUGAGCCGGGUGCCUGUAAAUAGCCACUGUGCUCCAGCCUAGGCAACGCUGAGACCCCGGCUCUGAAAACCCACAAAACUUAAAAGAUGAACACAGAUAAACUAUGGGAGCCCGGUAUGCGGUAAGCACUCUACAGGUGACAGCCUGGAACCCAGGACAGGUCACGGAAGGCUGCUGGCUUCAGUCACUGCCUGGUGGAAAACAAGCCUGUCUUUGGGACCAGCCAGCUAACAAGUGAGCGUUUCACCACAUCUGAAGGCAAAGUACCCAAAUGGGCAACCGUGGACGGCUAUGUAAAAAUCAAGGCUCCUGGGACACCUUCUCGGGACACAUUCUUAAUAAACAGAUACGUGCAUGAGGACUUUGUAUGCAUUUCUAUGCAACAGGCCACCCAAACCUCAGUGAGCAAAAACCUCUCUUCACUGCUCAUGACCCUGUGGGCCUGCAGCUUGAGCCAGUUCAGCUGAGACUGCUUCUCUCAGCCCCACGAGGUGACCACUGGGCCUACUUAUCAGCAGUGGCCUCCUGGCAGAUCCGGGCCACGUGUCACCAGCCAGACUGGCCGGGCCUCCCUCCCGGCGGGUCUCUAUCGGUCUCUAUUGGCAGCGAGAGAAAGCAAAUCCCUGUGGUGCUUCCAUCCCUCUCCCCAGGAGAAGCAGAGCAGCAGAAAGCAGAUGGCGGCCAGGGCCGGGACCCUCUGCUGUUCCCACGGGCCUCUCCAGAGGCUCUGCAGGACCAGCCAGCAGCCUCUAAUGGUCCCGUCCUGUUCCACGCCCUCAGAUGCCAUCCUCUCCACAGAGAUGGUUCCUGCCAUGGCGCUCUCCCUAACUUGGAAGAAUGGCACUCCCCUUGGUGCUGAUGUCAGGGAGGAAAGCAGUUUCCAGUCGCCCAGGCCCAGGACAGGGCAUUCCCAGCUAUGGUGGAGCAUGGAGCUCCAGGAUGCCCACUUGGGUGCCUGUGAGAUGAGGCGCUUUGAGAAGGAACCCUGCAGUCUCCUGAGGAGGUCCAAAGAAAUUUCGAGGAUAUCUCAGCCAUCCGUUCUUUGUUCACUGUGGAAGUCGAACACUAGGGCUCCUGGAGGGGCCCUGGGUCUCCAUAGAAGCAUUAGCAGCCACCAUCUACUUCCUGGACUUCCGUGCCUGCCCCACCUCUGUUCUGUUGUUUACUGCCUCCUUUGUGGGAAUUAUGGAAUAAACAAUCACUUUGGUGUCCCAGAAGAU